AAUUUAGCAAAUAUGAUUUAAUAUUUUAGAAUUAUAAGAAGAAUUAUGAGAUUGUAAGCAUUUGUGAUGGAAUUUCUUGGCUACUUUGGGUAGCAAUGAUUUGUUUGGUAGAAGUUGGUUAUUGGAGUUUAUAAAUUUGAUGGUCUAUGGUAUUGAUAAUCAUGAUAUGCUCUUGUAUCACUAUGACAUAUAAAAUUAUAUUUAAUAUAUUUGCUCCCGUUAGAGCGGUGCCAGCAGUUCAGUUUAAUGCAAUAGUAAAGGGCUGCCCAUGGAGAGGGUGGAGCUGCCGCUACGAGAUUUGACAAAGCAUUGCUAUGAUUUUUUUAUAUCUAUUUCGAUACUACAACGUAUCUUUGAAUGCCAAGUACCAAUUAUUGAUAAUUUUUAUAUCUGUUAGGAAUACUUGGAGACUAGAAAGAAUAUAAUUUGAGUUAUUUGGAGAUUCUAGAAUUGCAUAGCAUGUUGAUUUGAUUAUUCAAUUUAUUCAGCUUGUUUUAAUUUUUUUUGUUUUUUCAUCUAUCCAUUUAGCUUAUUUCUUUUUGUUACAUGAUGUAUAUUGUAAAUGCCAACUCAUUGAGUAGCCUAUACUCAACCCACCUAACUCACCAGUUUUGCAGAGGUUAAUUGAAAAGAGAAUCUGGUUGAUGGUUUUUAGAGCUCCGAUUGGCUAGACUCCAUGGUUCUGGGGAAGCAAGGGAAGGAAAUCUGCAGUAGAGAAUAAGGGUGUGACACCUUUCAUGGGGAUGGAGGAGUUUAUUGGAGGGGCUUGAUGUGAUUAGAUCUGCGAUAAGGUGGAAUAUAGUUGGUCCUUUGUUUCUACUUAAUUGGGAGGAACCUUGGGUUCCAACUCUUCCUGGAUUCACAAUUACGUCCAAGACAAGCAAACUGUCCAACUCUGUAUAUAGCCGAUUUAAUCAUUCCAAGCAUAAACCAAUAGGACCUACCGAUGUUAUAUGCUGCUUUCACUCCGAAGGAAUGUCGAGAAAUCAUUAGAAUUCCUAUUGGUUCACAUCCCAGGGAAGCUAUUAGAGUGUGGCACUUCUCAAGAUCGGGUACUCCUACUAUUAAAGCUAUUUAUCACAGGCUGAAAUAGUUGCAAGCUGUUCCGUAACAAGCAGUAGUCCCAUCUUCAUCCAGAUUAGUGCCCAUAAAUUUCUGGAAGAAAAUAUGGAAAUUGGAGGUUCCUCCUAAGUUGCAUAUGUUUAUAUGGUGGGCUUGUAAAAAUACUUUGGCUAUAAAAGAAAAUUUGUUUAAGAGGAAAUGUGCCUUCCCCUGACUGCCCUCUUUGUCUUCAAGGACCAUAGACUUUGGAGCACUUAUUAUUUUUCUGUAGUCAUGCUAAGGCUUACUAGUUUGGUUCAAAUCUUGGUUUUUGUCCGUGGACUGAAGGUUUUGGAUCUUUUAUUGAUUGGUGGAUUUUGCCAUCUGAUAGUUUCCAAUCUCUUGAUAAUAGGGAGCUUAAGUUAGCUUACUUCAUGUGCUAGCAUAUCUAGAAAGCUUAGAACAAUGCAAUUUAUAAUGCUGCAGAGCUGGAUCCUAGACUCAUUUUCUCCAGAGCUCAGAAUAAAUUUGAAGAACUAACUUCAAUUACUAUUCCGUAAUCUUAUUCUUUAGCCAUGCCUCAUAACUCUUUUGUCAAAUGGUCUCCGCCACCUACUGGUUUGUUUAAACUGAAUGUGGAUGCUUCUUUUGAUGGAUGCUCUUCCAGUGCUACUUAUGGUUUUUUUUUUUUUUACUAGGAAAUUCUUCGGGUAUCCUUCUUGAUGGUGGGGUUAUUGUUUUUUCGCGUUUCAUCAUCUCCUGUGGUAGAGGGUCUGGGUCUAAGGGUAACAAUUAAAUUUGUGAUUAAUAGAAAUCUUGACCAGUGUUCUAUAGAGAUUGAUGCUCUGCAGAUUAAGCUCUUGAUUUCUUCCCCUCCUCACUUUAUUUUUUGUGAAGUGGAAGCAAUCAUUCAUGAA
rnacentral:misc_RNA from 1 species